rnacentral:rRNA from 1 species
CGUGGCGGCAGGCUUACACAUGCAAGUCGAGCGGUAGCACAGGGGAGCUUGCUCCCUGGGUGACGAGCGGCGGACGGGUGAGUAAUGUCUGGGAAACUGCCUGAUGGAGGGGGAUAACUACUGGAAACGGUAGCUAAUACCGCAUAACGUCGCAAGACCAAAGAGGGGGACCUUCGGGCCUCUUGCCAUCAGAUGUGCCCAGAUGGGAUUAGCUAGUAGGUGGGGUAAUGGCUCACCUAGGCGACGAUCCCUAGCUGGUCUGAGAGGAUGACCAGCCACACUGGAACUGAGACACGGUCCAGACUCCUACGGGAGGCAGCAGUGGGGAAUAUUGCACAAUGGGCGCAAGCCUGAUGCAGCCAUGCCGCGUGUGUGAAGAAGGCCUUCGGGUUGUAAAGCACUUUCAGCGAGGAGGAAGGUGGUGAGCUUAAUACGCUCAUCAAUUGACGUUACUCGCAGAAGAAGCACCGGCUAACUCCGUGCCAGCAGCCGCGGUAAUACGGAGGGUGCAAGCGUUAAUCGGAAUUACUGGGCGUAAAGCGCACGCAGGCGGUUUGUUAAGUCAGAUGUGAAAUCCCCGGGCUCAACCUGGGAACUGCAUUUGAAACUGGCAAGCUAGAGUCUCGUAGAGGGGGGUAGAAUUCCAGGUGUAGCGGUGAAAUGCGUAGAGAUCUGGAGGAAUACCGGUGGCGAAGGCGGCCCCCUGGACGAAGACUGACGCUCAGGUGCGAAAGCGUGGGGAGCAAACAGGAUUAGAUACCCUGGUAGUCCACGCUGUAAACGAUGUCGAUUUGGAGGUUGUGCCCUUGAGGCGUGGCUUCCGGAGCUAACGCGUUAAAUCGACCGCCUGGGGAGUACGGCCGCAAGGUUAAAACUCAAAUGAAUUGACGGGGGCCCGCACAAGCGGUGGAGCAUGUGGUUUAAUUCGAUGCAACGCGAAGAACCUUACCUACUCUUGACAUCCAGAGAACUUAGCAGAGAUGCAUUGGGUGCCUUCGGGAACUCUGAGACAGGUGCUGCAUGGCUGUCGUCAGCUCGUGUUGUGAAAUGUUGGGUUAAGUCCCGCACGAGCGCACCCUUAUCCUUUGUUGCCAGCGGAUCGCGGGUACUCAAGGAGACUGCCAGUGAUAAACUGAGAAUGUGGGGGAUGACGUCAGUUCAUCAUGCCUUACGAGUAAGGCUAACCCACGUGCUUACAUUGCGUAUUACAAGAGAGCCGAACCCUCGCCGGAGGAGACAAGGCGCGGGACCCCUUCUCUUUAAAAGU